UGUAUAUAGUUAUUUACUGUAAAAUAAACUUCUAUUUUAUGGAAGAAAGUAUAUAGAUUUGUUAUUAAAAAUAACGUGAAACGGAGGUAGAUGACAAGUCAUUAUGGUCUUUAUGGACUGGGCUACUCAUGUGCUACAAUGGCAAUGACAAAGGGAGGCUAAGGUGUGAACUGGAGCAAAACCUAAAAAGUUGUCGUAGUUCGGAUUGUUCUCUGAAACUUGGGAGCAUGAAGUUGGAAUCGCUAGUAAUCGUGAAUCAGCAUGUCACGGUGAAUGAGUACCGAAGUCUAGUACACACCGCCCGUCACACCCUGGGAAUUUUUUUUAUAGAAAGUAUGGUGGGCCAUAAAUGAUAUUUUAUUAUAUUCUUUAUGAGAAUAGGGAGAUAAUAAAGGAUAAUAUGGUUUAAUAUUGUACGUGUGUAAUUUAGGUGACUGGGGUGAAGUCGUAACAGGGUAGCCGUAGGGGAACCUGUGGCUGGGUUAUUUAAU
rnacentral:rRNA from 1 species